ACGCAUAAACAUCUUUUUACUGUCUUCCUAGUCAUAGGUCGUAUGUCUAUGGUUCCAUGUGACAAAUAAAACCUUAACUCGUAUGCCGCUGUCACUCUCGCUCCGGUGGAGUGAAAUACAGAGGGCCACUGCUUGUCCCGCUAACAGCACCUAAUGUGGCAAGAAAACACCUGGAGGAAGACUCUUGUUGUAUGCCAGAGCACUAUUGUUGCUACCGUUACGUGCUCUUCAUUGAGUCUGCACCCGCAGUUUCCAGGCCAUACUCCUUGAGUGGAUGAAAAUUCCUGUUUUGAUUAGAAAAGUAGAAUAUCAGCUUACCUUUUCCAUUGAGUGGUGAGGUUACAGUACCUCUCAGAUUUGGUAGGUGUUGCCCCAGGGCAGGCUAGGAAGAUGUCAAAGAAGAAGAAGCACAAAAAGUCGAGGCACAGAACAUCUUCACCAGAGAAGGCGGGUGAGGACAGUGCUAAGAAACAGAGGAGAGUGGCCUAUGAGAAAAGGGAAGAGGGUAAUUACGAGCAUGGCAGACCAUCAAGGUGAGUGCGGCGUAUACUCUCCCCAGUGCUUGUCUAUCAGUGUCCAUCACUCAGACUCUGCCCUUUCACAUCUAGCCAGAGCAAGCUGCAACCAUCUAAAAUGGCAUGUGCUGCAACCAUCUAAAAUUGCUGCAGUUUGUUUGUCCAAUACAGCCAGCUUAAGCAUCAGCUCUCUUCUUUGCUGACAUGUUUAUCUCAACCCUUAUCAGUUUAUACUUUCCAUCUCCAUCAAGGCCCUGCUGUAAUGGUGAUGACUGCAGGUAUAGGAUGGGAUUUUUCUGUAUGUAUCAGAGAACUAGUGUUAGGUGAAAAUUUACUCAAGUUACCUCAGGACUCCGGAGUUGCAUAUAAGUAUAUUUAUUAGACAACAACAACAAGCUCGUUGGGCUCACCAACGUCUUUGAUGGUCAGAGAGAGACACGGAAGCCUGAGUGUGUAAGAUAAAUUUGAAUUAUCAAAUUUAUCAAAUCAAAUGUAUCAAAUGAAGUAUAUCAAAUGAAAAAAUCAGUCAGAAACAGCAAGUUCAGUUCACGUGGGAAAUGUAAAGCCAGACGAGAGAGCAAGUUAAAACUGGGACAGAGGGCUGUGAGAAAGGGCAGCGAAAAGAGAAAUCAUAAAUGGUCAAGGUUGUGGCGCAGAUAAGGGAAAGCUUCCAGACGAUAGAUGUGUCAGCAGAUUAAAAGCAGAAGUUCUGUAAGUGGAAAAUACCACAAGAAUCACGUGUUAUUACUAUGUACAGAGUGGACGAGACAGUAUGUCACAAUCUUAAGAUCGAUAGAUGGGCGGACCAGAGUGACAUCACAGGAUUAGGCCUUAAAAGUUUGAGCAUCGCCUGUAUCAGAUCAGAAUGUAUUCUCCGGCUUGCUUGACUGUACUUGAUUGUCUGUUGAGCGAGUUGUAUUGUACCAGCAUCUACCAGUAAAACGUAUCUUGUUACAACAAAUUGCUUCGUACGGUGGUUCCUCUCUAAAACAACACGCAAGAGUGAAAAUAACUCUAACACGUGCUCACUCCCACACUGCAGCAGACGAGAGAACAGCAAUAUUAAACACAUCGCACAAGGUUUAUAUAGAUAUAAGUUAAGCGUUCUCUGGCGCCAAUACAAUUUGUCAGCAGGGAUAACCACGUGGUGGGUCUGUGACGUCCGAGGCUCCCUGUCCUGCAAGGAUGUCAGUUUUGCACAAGGUCGAAAGAAGAGCAGUUCGACCCUUCUUAUCACCUUUAAGAUAAAUUUAAAAAGCAACUGUCAAAUGGAAAAUACCAGACAGCCAGCGAGGUCAAGCAGGGACAGAAUGCACUGUGCUAAAGGCACUUGAAAUGUGGAAAAAAAAACAUGUUGACAGCAGAUUCAAAAUGCAAAAGUUCUGUUAACGGACAAAGGUCAGCAUUUACAAGAAAUCAUGUGUUACUACUAGUGCUGUCAAACGAUUAAAAUAUUUAAUCGCGAUUAAUCGCAUUUAUGUCAUAGUUAACUCAAAAUGAAUCGCAAUUAAUGUCCCUUCAUUUUUUUUUUCCAUCAUUUUUUUUUUCAUUUUAAUGCUCUUAUCAAAAUGGAAA
ensembl:lncRNA